UGGAGAAGCAGGACACGUGAG
rnacentral:miRNA from 2 species